UGGGGAAUUUUGCACAAUGGGGGAAACCCUGAUGCAGCGACGCCGCGUGAUUUAGAAGGCCUUCGGGUUGUAAAACUCUUUUCUAUGGGAAGAAAAUGACAGUACCAUAGGAAUAAGGACCGGCUAAUUACGUGCCAGCAGCCGCGGUAAUACGUAAGGUCCGAGCGUUGUCCGGAAUCAUUGGGCGUAAAGGGUACGUAGGCGGGUAAGCAAGUUAGAAGUGAAAUCCUAUAGCUCAACUAUAGUAAGCUUUUAAAACUGCUCAUCUUGAGGUAUGGAAGGGAAAGUGGAAUUCCUAGUGUAGCGGUGAAAUGCGCAGAUAUUAGGAGGAAUACCGGUGGCGAAGGCGACUUUCUGGCCAUAACCUGACGCUGAGGUACGAAAGCGUGGGUAGCAAACAGG
rnacentral:rRNA from 1 species